CUGGGGCACUGACGUCACUCGGGGGCUGCCUGUGCCGAGGAGAAGGUUCUCGAAAGGAGAGGAGGGCGAGAGGUGACACGGGCGGUCGCGUUCCGGUAGUUGCUCCCCAGUCUUUCUCUCCGGCUGUCCGUUUUUGUCUCUUGUCUCCUGUGUGUAACGCGCGGGUCGCCAUUGUCGGUUUCGCCUUCACUAUUGUGAUGGCGCAGUGAGUAUUGUCAUCUAGAGGCCUCGGGCGCAUGCGCGAACCCUCGGAAGGGAUGGUGACGUCACUUGCGGCAGUGACGCAACCAUCUGUUGUUUUGACAGCGGCUUUUUAUUGAAAUCUGUUGUGUGAGGAGGACCGGCUAGUCCUUCAGCAGGGACGGGGCUUGUAACUAUGGCAACUGUGUCCUCCCCCUGGGCAUCUUCACAGACUCAUUUGCAUGCGGAUUAAAAGUGUUUUUCUCCACAACGAUGCUAGCAAGGAACUAACGUUUUUCAGAGCGUGGGUGGAGACUAGCUGGUUUCAUGUCUGUCUAUAGACUGCACAUGGAGACAAAGGAGCUUCCUAACCCUGCAGCAGCAAUCACAUGCACAGUGCCAUACUAGAAUGGGACACAUGACUGCUGCAGCCAGUCACUGUCCUUAGCGGUAAAAUCUGAUUGGCUGCAGUGGUUGUGUGCUGUCUGUAAACCAAC